rnacentral:rRNA from 1 species
CCUACGGGUGGCAGCAGUGGGGAAUAUUGCACAAUGGGGGAAACCCUGAUGCAGCGACGCCGCGUGAGUGAAGAAGUAAUUCGUUACGUAAAGCUCUAUCAGCAGGGAAGAAACACUGACCUUACGGUCAGCAGACGGUACCUGAGUCAGACGCCCCGGCUAACUACGUGCCAGCAGCCGCGGUAAUAUGUAGGGGGCAAGCGUUAUCCGGAUUUACUGGGUGUAAAGGGAGCGUAGACGGUGCGCCAAGUCUGGAGUGAAAUGCCGCAGCUUAACUGCGGAACUGCUUUGGAAACUGGCGAACUAGAGUGCGGGAGGGGUAAGCGGAAUUCCUAGUGUAGCGGUGAAAUGCGUAGAUAUUAGGAGGAACACCGGUGGCGAAGGCGGCUUACUGGACCGUAACUGACGUUGAGGCUCGAAAGCGUGGGGAGCAAACAGGAUUAGAUACCCGAGUAGUC